GAUGAAGAACGCAGCGAAAUGCGAUAAGUAAUGUGAAUUGCAGAAUUCAGUGAAUCAUCGAAUCUUUGAACGCACAUUGCGCCCGCCAGCAUUCUGGCGGGCAUGCCUGUUCGAGCGUCAUUUCAACCCUCGAGCCCCCCCGGGGGCCUCGGUGUUGGGGGACGGCACACCAGCCGCCCCCGAAAUGCAGUGGCGACCCCGCCGCAGCCUCCCCUGCGUAGUAGCACACACCUCGCACCGGAGCGCGGAGGCGGUCACGCCGUAAAACGCCCAACUUUCUUAGAGUUGACCUCGGAUCAGGUAGGAAUACCUGCUGAACUUAAGCAUAUCAAUAAGCGGAGGA
rnacentral:misc_RNA from 1 species